GGCGUGCUUAACACAUGCAAGUCGAACGAGAAUCACCGGAAGGAGUUUUCGGACAACGGAAAGUGAGGACAGUGGCGGACGGGUGAGUAACGCGUGAGGAACCUGCCUUUCAGAGGGGGACAACAGUUGGAAACGACUGCUAAUACCGCAUAACGCAUAGGUAUCGCAUGGUACUUAUGCCAAAGAUUUAUCGCUGAAAGAUGGCCUCGCGUCUGAUUAGCUGGUUGGUGAGGUAACGGCCCACCAAGGCGACGAUCAGUAGCCGGACUGAGAGGUUGACCGGCCACAUUGGGACUGAGAUACGGCCCAGACUCCUACGGGAGGCAGCAGUGGGGAAUAUUGGGCAAUGGGCGCAAGCCUGACCCAGCAACGCCGCGUGAAGGAAGAAGGCUUUCGGGUUGUAAACUUCUUUUGGCAGGGAAGAGGAGAAGACGGUACCUGCCGAAUAAGCCACCGCUAACUACGUGCCAGCAGCCGCGGUAAUACGUACGUGGCAAGCGUUGUCCGGAUUUACUGGGUGU
rnacentral:rRNA from 1 species